rnacentral:rRNA from 1 species
CCUACGGGUGGCAGCAGUGAGGAAUAUUGGUCAAUGAGCGCGAGCCUGAACCAGCCAAGUAGCGUGAAGGAUGACUGCCCUACGGGUUGUAAACUUCUUUUAUAAAGGAAUAAAGUGAGGCACGUGUGCCUUUUUGUAUGGACUUUAUGAAUAAGGAUCGGGUAACUCCGUGCCCGCAGCCGCGGUAAGACGGAGGAUCCGAGCGUUAUCCGGAUUUAUUGGGUUUAAAGGGAGCGUAAAUGGGUUGUUAAGUCAGUUGUGAAAGUCUUCGGCGCAACCGUACAAUUGCAAUUGAUACUGGCAGUCUUGAGUACAGUUGAGGUAGGCGGAAUUCGUGGUGUAGCGGUGAAAUGCUUAGAUAUCACGAAGAACUCCGAUUGCGAAGGCAGCUUACUAAACUGCCACUGACAUUGAUGCUCGAAAGUGUGGGUAUCAAACAGGAUUAGAUACCCGGGUAGUC